rnacentral:rRNA from 1 species
CCUACGGGAGGCAGCAGUGGGGAAUAUUGGACAAUGGGCGCAAGCCUGAUCCAGCAAUGCCGCGUGAGUGAUGAAGGCCUUAGGGUCGUAAAGCUCUUUUACCAGGGAUGAUAAUGACAGUACCUGGAGAAUAAGCUCCGGCUAACUCCGUGCCAGCAGCCGCGGUAAUACGGAGGGAGCUAGCGUUGUUCGGAAUUACUGGGCGUAAAGCGUACGUAGGCGGUUAUUCAAGUCAGAGGUGAAAGCCCGGGGCUCAACCCCGGAACGGCCUUUGAAACUAGGUAGCUAGAAUCUUGGAGAGGUCAGUGGAAUUCCGAGUGUAGAGGUGAAAUUCGUAGAUAUUCGGAAGAACACCAGUGGCGAAGGCGACUGACUGGACAAGUAUUGACGCUGAGGUACGAAAGCGUGGGGAGCAAACAGGAUUAGAUACCCUGGUAGUCCACGCCGUAAACGAUGAUAACUAGCUGUUCGGGCACUUGGUGCUUGAGUGGCGCAGCUACGCAUUAAGUUAUCCGUCCGUCGGGUAGGUACGGUCGCGAGAAGUUAAACGUUAAACGGUAAGUUAGUACGGUCGUGAGACGUAGACCGACGACGACGACGAGGGAGUAGG